AGUGAACGCUGGCGGUAGGCCUAACACAUGCAAGUCGAACGGCAGCACAGAGGAGCUUGCUCCUUGGGUGGCGAGUGGCGGACGGGUGAGGAAUACAUCGGAAUCUACUCUGUCGUGGGGGAUAACGUAGGGAAACUUACGCUGAUACCGCAUACGACCUACGGGUGAAAGCAGGGGACCUUCGGGCCUUGCGCGAUUGAAUGAGCCGAUGUCGGAUUAGCUAGUUGGCGGGGGAAAGGCCCACCAAGGCGACGAUCCGUAGCUGGUCUGAGAGGAUGAUCAGCCACACUGGAACGGAGACACGGUCCAGACUCCUACGGGAGGCAGCAGUGGGGAAUAUUGAACAAUUGGCGCAAGCCUGAUCCAGCCAUACCGCGUGGGUGAAGAAGGCCUUCGGGUUGUAAAGCCCUUUUGUUGGGAAAGAAGUCCAGCUGGCUAAUACCCGGUUGGGAUGACGGUACCCAAAGAAUAAGCACCGGCUAACUUCGUGCCAGCCGCCGCCGUAA
rnacentral:rRNA from 1 species